AAUGGGAGAAUGACAAAUCAAGUUUUCCUUCUAACUUUCAGCUUCUUUCUGUUGAAAAAAUCCAUAUUCAACUAAAAAUACUGAAAAUUAUGAGAAAAAAUUCUGAUUUGUUAUUUUCUUAUU
rnacentral:pre_miRNA from 1 species